rnacentral:rRNA from 1 species
CACGUAGGCUGUUCGUUAAGUCCGAUGUGAAAUCCCCCGGCCUCAACCGGGGAACUGCAUCAGAUACCGGCGAACUCGGGGACGGUAGGGGUAAGUGGAACUCCAGGUGGAACGGUGAAAUGUGUAGAUAUCUGGAGGAACACCGGUGGCGAAAGCGGCUUACUGGACCGUCUCUGACGCUGAGGUGCGAAAGCUAGGGUAGCGAACG